rnacentral:lncRNA from 1 species
UGCAGGACGGGGGCGGGGCUUUAGGGCCACUGUCCGCACAGUAAGUUCACAGCCCGGGUCGGGUCCCACAGCCUGGCGGUCCAGCUCCCAGCUUUCGCCUCCUGCGGGUCCGCUGACAGCGCUCCUGAUGCUCCUCAGCCCUGGACUCAGUUGGGAAUCUCAGGAACGAGACCAAAGCACACUGCUAGCAACAGAUUCCCCAUCUUUCUGCCUCCAGUUCUCAAAAAAGAAUUUCCAACCCUUUGGGAGAAAGUGACUUUUAUCUCAACCUCUGCCUUCCCUGG